rnacentral:rRNA from 1 species
UACGAAGGGGGCUAGCGUUGUUCGGAUUUACUGGGCGUAAAGCGCACGUAGGCGGACUAUUAAGUCAGGGGUGAAAUCCCGGGGCUCAACCCCGGAACUGCCUUUGAUACUGGUAGUCUUGAGUUCGAGAGAGGUGAGUGGAAUUCCGAGUGUAGAGGUGAAAUUCGUAGAUAUUCGGAGGAACACCAGUGGCGAAGGCGGCUCACUGGCUCGAUACUGACGCUGAGGACGAAAGCGUGGGGAGCAAACAGG